rnacentral:rRNA from 1 species
GACGAACGCUGGCGGCGUGCUUAACACAUGCAAGUCGAACGGAAAGGCCCUGCUUUUGUGGGGUGCUCGAGUGGCGAACGGGUGAGUAACACGUGAGUAACCUGCCCUUGACUUUGGGAUAACUUCAGGAAACUGGGGCUAAUACCGGAUAGGAGCUCCUGCUGCAUGGUGGGGGUUGGAAAGUUUCGGCGGUUGGGGAUGGACUCGCGGGUUAUCAGCUUGUUGGUGGGGUAGUGGCUUACCAAGCGUUUGACGGGUAGCCGGCCUGAGAGGGUGACCGGCCACAUGGGGACUGAGAUACGGCCCAGACUCCUACGGGAGGCAGCAGUGGGGAAUAUUGCACAAUGGGCGGAAGCCUGAUGCAGCAACGUCGCGUGCGGGAUGACGGCCUUCGGGUUGUAAACCGCUUUCGCCUGUGACGAAGCGUGAGUGACGGUAAUGGGUAAAGAAGCACCGGCUAACUACGUG